rnacentral:rRNA from 1 species
UACGUAGGGCGCAAGCGUUGUCCGGAAUCAUUGGGCGUAAAGAGCUCGUAGGCGGCCUGUUGCGUCCGCUGUGAAAUCCCGGGGCUUAACCCCGGGCGUGCAGUGGAUACGGGCUGGCUGGAGGCAGGCAGGGGAGAACGGAAUUCCCGGUGUAGCGGUGAAAUGCGCAGAUAUCGGGAGGAAUACCGAUGGCGAAGGCAGGUCUCUGGGCUGACACUGACGCUCAUGCACGAAAGCGUGGGGAGCAAACAGG